rnacentral:lncRNA from 1 species
UUAUACUUUAGCAACAGGAACUAGGAUAAGAAAAAUGACUUUUAAAAUAUUUAUAUCUUUUUUCCUUUUAUGAUAUUCAAAUGAUAAAAGCACCAUUAAACUCAUCUUUUGGAUUUACCACUUGUACUGUGGUAGAGUAUUCUCAUGAUCCAGAUAUUCUCCUAAAGACAGUUGAAUUAGAAAAGAUACACUUGUAGUAACCCAUCUAGAAUGAAGGUUGGGCCAAUAUUUUCAUUUUCUUCUAUUAUUUUAAAAUCAAUAGGGAUUUCUUUAGUAAAAUACAAAAUUUAUCUGAAAUAAGCAGUUUGCAAUUUUCCUAGGGUGAGUCUUCUUAACGGAGUCCUGAUAAUCAUGGCAAAAUUAUCUUCCCAAUUGCCCUUCUCUAAAUCUAUUACAUAGAGAGGGUGAGUCUUAGCUUUCACUGAUC